rnacentral:rRNA from 1 species
CGCGUAGAAAUCUACCUGGUAGUGGGGGACAACCUGGUGAAACCAGGCUAAUACCGCAUACGUCCUACGGGAGAAAGCAGGGGACCUUCGGGCCUUGUGCUAUCAGAUGAGUCUGCGUUGGAUUAGCUUGUUGGUGGGGUAAAAGCCUACCAAGGCGACGAUCCAUAGCUGGUCUGAGAGGACGAUCAGCCACACUGGAACUGAGACACGGUCCAGACUCCUACGGGAGGCAGCAGUGGGGAAUAUUGCACAAUGGGCGAAAGCCUGAUGCAGCCAUGCCGCGUGUGUGAAGAAGGCCCU